rnacentral:lncRNA from 1 species
GAUAAACCAGUAUUCUGGACUAAGCCAACCUGGGAGACCCUAGGAAGCCUGUUUGAGAAAGUGACAUUUAAAUUGAGACUUGGCUGUGGCUGUGGCUACAUAUCUAAUUGCAAACUCCUAGAGAAGGGCUCAACAGUGAGUGUUGAGGCUGCACAGAGGAGGAAGGUAGCACAAUGAUGGAAGGCUUCCUAAAGAGAUAACACUAACAAAGUUGACCUUAGAAUUGGAGUGCCCGGGUUAGAACCUUGCUGGUACCACCUGCUUACUGCAUGCUUCUGAUGUGAGUUCAGGAGAAGCCACUGGCAAGGACAGCAAAGAACAGGAGAACACUCUAGCUUCCCUGAUAGCAUUCAAGGUGCUGUCCAAACUGACUGUGAUGGCACCCUCCAGACAGACAGCGAUGCCACAUGUUCAAGAUGGCAGAAUCACUAACAGCUUCAAUUCCUGAAUGACUGCAGAGCAAAAUUUCUUACCCGCAACAUACACUCUAUUUUCAGCCUCCCUGGACUGUUACAUAAUGAUACAUAAAAAUAUUUCUUGUGUUGAGGCAUCCCAAAUUUGAUCUAUUUGUCAUCACAGUUUAUCCUACGAAUAUAUUUCUGAUCCAAAUAAUGCUAGAUUCAUGAGAGUUUAUAGUCCAGAGAUUUUUUUUUUUUUUUUUUUUUGAGACAGAAUCUCACUGUCUGCCAGGCUGGGGUGCAGUGGCAUAAUCUUAGCUCACUGCAACCUCCGCCUCCUGGGCUCAAGUGAUCCUCCCUCCUUAGCCUCCAUGAAUAGCUGGGACCACAGGUGUGCACCACCCCACCCAGCUAAUUAUUUUGUAUUUUUUGCAGAGACGGGGUUUCACCACAUUGCCCAAGCUGGUCUCAAACUCCUAGACUUAAGGGAUCUUCCCGCCUUGGCCUCCCAAAAUGCUGAAAUUACAUGUGUUAGCCAUAGUAAUAGUUCCUAGCCAUAGUCCAGAGAUAUUUUAAAAACUUUAGUGUGAGUUAUUUCUCUUUGCUAUAAUUCUCUCAUGCAUUUUGAAAACCUUUUCUGCCAUACAGUGGUUUUUGGGAAGUCCUUUUGGACAGACAUAUCACAGGAUGGAGAAACUAAAAA